rnacentral:rRNA from 1 species
CGGGGGGAGCAAGCGUUGUUCGGAUUUACUGGGCGUAAGGGGCGCGUAGGCGGCCACCGCAAGUCAGUUGUGAAAUCUCUGGGCUUAACCCAGAAAGGUCAACUGAUACUGCGGGGCUAGAGUGCAGAAGGGGCAACUGGAAUUCUCGGUGUAGCGGUGAAAUGCGUAGAUAUCGAGAGGAACACCUGCGGCGAAGGCGGGUUGCUGGGCUGACACUGACGCUGAGGCGCGAAAGCUAGGGGAGCGAACGGGAUUAGAUACCCCGGUAGUCCUAGCCUUAAACGAUGAAUGCUUGGUGUCUGGGGGUUUUAUAGUCCCCGGGUGCCGUCGCUAACGCUUUAAGCAUUCCGCCUGGGGAGUACGGUCGCAAGACUG